GCCGCGUUAGCUCAGCCGGUAGAGCAACCGCCUGGUAAGCGGUAGGUCGUCCGUUCGAUCCGGACACGCGGCCCCA
rnacentral:tRNA from 1 species